AGAGUUUGAUCCUGGCUCAGGAUGAACGCUGGCGGCGUGCCUAACACAUGCAAGUCGAACGGAGCUGCUUUGAUGAAGUUUUCGGAUGGAUUUAAAACAGCUUAGUGGCGGACGGGUGAGUAACGCGUGGGUAACCUGCCUCACACUGGGGGAUAACAGUUAGAAAUAGCUGCUAAUACCGCAUAAGCGCACGGUUCCGCAUGGAACAGUGUGAAAAACUCCGGUGGUGUGAGAUGGACCCGCGUCUGAUUAGCCAGUUGGCGGGGUAACGGCCCACCAAAGCGACGAUCAGUAGCCGGCCUGAGAGGGUGAACGGCCACAUUGGGACUGAGACACGGCCCAAACUCCUACGGGAGGCAGCAGUGGGGAAUAUUGCACAAUGGGGGGAACCCUGAUGCAGCGACGCCGCGUGAGUGAAGAAGUAUUUCGGUAUGUAAAGCUCUAUCAGCAGGGAAGAAAGUGACGGUACCUGAAUAAGAAGCCCCGGCUAACUACGUGCCAGCAGCCGCAGUAAUACGUAGGGGGCAAGCGUUAUCCGGAUUUACUGGGUGUAAAGGGAGCGUAGACGGCAAGGCAAGUCUGAAGUGAAAGCCCGGUGCUUAACGCCGGGACUGCUUUGGAAACUGUUUGGCUGGAGUGCCGGAGAGGUAAGCGGAAUUCCUAGUGUAGCGGUGAAAUGCGUAGAUAUUAGGAAGAACACCAGUGGCGAAGGCGGCUUACUGGACGGUAACUGACGUUGAGGCUCGAAAGCGUGGGGAGCAAACAGGAUUAGAUACCCUGGUAGUCCACGCCGUAAACGAUGAUUGCUAGGUGUAGGUGGGUAUGGACCCAUCGGUGCCGCAGCUAACGCAAUAAGCAAUCCACCUGGGGAGUACGUUCGCAAGAAUGAAACUCAAAGGAAUUGACGGGGACCCGCACAAGCGGUGGAGCAUGUGGUUUAAUUCGAAGCAACGCGAAGAACCUUACCAGGUCUUGACAUCCCGAUGAAAAACCCGUAACGGGGUUCCCUCUUCGGAGCAUCGGAGACAGGUGGUGCAAGGUUGCCUCCCCUCCGUGCCGGGGAGAUUGGGGUAAAUCCCCGAACAAGGCGAACCCUUUAUUCUUAUAACCCACCAGGGAAAACUUGGGCACCUUAAAGAGACUGCGCGGGGAUAACCCCGGAGAAAAGGGGGGAUAAACCCAAAAAACAAUGGCCCCUUAUUAUUUGGGGUCACCACUGGUUUAUAUGGGGUAAAAAAGGAAAAGGACCCUCCGAGUGGGCCGAGACCCAAAAAUAACGUCCCAGUUCGGACUGUAGUCUGCAACCCGACUACACGAAGCUGGAAUCGCUAGUAAUCGCGAAUCAGAAUGUCGCGGUGAAUACGUUCCCGGGUCUUGCACACACCGCCCGUC
rnacentral:rRNA from 1 species